AUUGAACGCUGGCGGCAGGCUUAACACAUGCAAGUCGAGCGAGCGGCGGACGGGUGAGUAAUGUCUCGGAAACUGCCUGAUGGAGGGGGAUAACUACUGGAAACGGUAGCUAAUACCGCAUACCAUUAGAUCUGCCCAUAUGGGAUUAGCUAGUAGGUGGGGUAAUGGCUCACCUAGGCGACGAUCCCUAGCUGGUAUGAGAGGAUGACCAGCCACACUGGAACGUGGACACGGUCCAGACUCCUACGGGAGGCAGCAGUGGGGAAUAUUGCACAAUGGGCGCAAGCCUGAUGCAGCCAUGCCGCGGGUGUGAAGAAGGCCUGCGGGUUGUAAAGCACUUUCAGCGAGGAAGCGGUACUCGCAGAAGAAGCACCGGCUAAGUACGUGCCAGCCGCCGCGGUAAUUC
rnacentral:rRNA from 1 species